rnacentral:lncRNA from 1 species
AUGACCAUCCUGCUGAGGAUGGGAGGCCACUUACACCUGACAGGGUGGGUUAUGUUCCCACAGCACGUGAUGCAUGCAUGGAUGUACUGCCCUAUUGAUCCUCUUCCAUGCUUCUCUCAUAGGCUGAGAAAACAUCCACCAAGUCUUCUUGAAGAAGACCGAAAUACCCAAGCACACCUGCAAGAACACCCAGCUGGUUCAGAUUCUCAAACAAGGUGUUAUUAUUCUGAAAGUUUUCAGAAGAAUGUCAGCUAUCUUCAGUCAGAUGUGGCCACAUCUUGUCAUUGAAGGAGGUGUCCUUGUUGCUUAAGGCAGAGGGAUGAUCUCAUCUCUUUCCUUCUCCUGUGUUUUGCUGUUUUACAGUUUGUCAAAAUCCAGGUCUAUUCUGUCUUAAUGGUGUCCCAGUGAUGCUACUUCAGCAGGUUGAUGAUCCUGUCUGGGAUCUACACCUGCAACCUUUCUGUUUUUAGAGAGACCUGUUAGGAAAAUGGUUUUCAUAAAAGCAAUGCUUACAUCUGGUUCUAAACUACUUACAACAUCAGCAGCAAACAUCUAUCACCAGCACUUUAAAGUGAAUGUGCUGCCUCAGAUGAAGUGUUGUAAGACUGUCUAGAGCUCAAUAUACUUACUACAUUAAGAGUAACCUCUUCUAGUAAUUAGAAGCAUUUCCUGAUAUGAAAGACUGUAGAAAAUAUCUUCUAUUGAGUAAAUUUUCAUUCUUUUCCACAUUGAUUCAGCUUAGUGUAGCUAAAACAAAGAUAUAAAUUUUGGAUGAAAAGGGGAAUAUGAGAAGUCAAGAAAGAAGUGACCAGUAAUGGACCAAUUCUGUACUCACCAUUGAUAAGUAAUCAGCAUUUAUCAUUACUCAUUUUGCAGAAAUGAUCUUCCAGCUUUGGUUCCAAAGUUAUAAAUAGGAUUUUCACUUGAAAAUUUGCUGAAAAACACAGAGUAAAAGUUUAUCUGCAGCAUAAAAAAAAUUAAUUUACACAGCUAUCCUGAGAAAGAAAUGUGUGACGGUGUUCACAGGGGUUCUUGGAUGAGGGAAGAGAUGAGGAUCUGACUCCAUGUUUCAGAAGGCUUGAUUUAUUAUUUUAUGAUAUAUAUUAUAUUAAAACUAUACUAAAAGACUAAAACAAAAUGUUCUUAUCAGAAGGCUAGCUAAGAAUAGAAUAGGAAAGAAUGAUAACAAAGGUUUGUGGCUCAGGCUCUGUGUCCAAGCCAGCUGGGCUGUGAUUGGCCAUUAAUUAGAAACAUCCAGCAUGGACCAAUCCCAGAUGCACCUGUUGCA